rnacentral:rRNA from 1 species
UGCGUAGGCGGGCGCCUAAGUCAGCGGUGAAAUACAGCGGCUCAACCGUUGAGCUGCCGUUGAUACUGGGCGCCUUGAACUCGGUCGAGGCCGGCGGAAUGCGCGGUGUAGCGGUGAAAUGCUUAGAUAUCGCGCAGAACGCCGAUUGCGAAGGCAGCUGGCCGGGCCGAGAUUGACGCUGAGGCACGAAAGCGUGGGGAUCGAACAGGAUUAGAUACCCUGGUAGUCC